AUUGAACGCUGGCGGCAGGCUUAACACAUGCAAGUCGAGCGGAGAUGAGGUGCUUGCACCUUAUCUUAGCGGCGGACGGGUGAGUAAUGCUUAGGAAUCUGCCUAUUAGUGGGGGACAACAUUCCGAAAGGAAUGCUAAUACCGCAUACGCCCUACGGGGGAAAGCAGGGGAUCUUCGGACCUUGCGCUAAUAGAUGAGCCUAAGUCGGAUUAGCUAGUUGGUGGGGUAAAGGCCCACCAAGGCGACGAUCUGUAGCGGGUCUGAGAGGAUGAUCCGCCACGCUGGGACUGAGACACGGCCCAGACUCCUACGGGAGGCAGCAGUGGGGAAUAUUGGACAAUGGGCGGAAGCCUGAUCCAGCCAUGCCGCGUGUGUGAAGAAGGCCUUUUGGUUGUAAAGCACUUUAAGCGAGGAGGAGGCUACCUGGAUUAAUACUCUAGGAUAGUGGACGUUACUCGCAGAAUAAGCACCGGCUAACUCUGUGCCAGCCGCCGCCGUAAAAC
rnacentral:rRNA from 1 species